rnacentral:rRNA from 1 species
CCUACGGGAGGCAGCAGUGGGGAAUAUUGGACAAUGGGGGCAACCCUGAUCCAGCCAUGCCGCGUGUGUGAAGAAGGCCCUCGGGUUGUAAAGCACUUUCAGUGAGGAAGAACGCCUGGUGGUUAAUACCCAUCAGGAAAGACAUCACUCACAGAAGAAGCACCGGCUAACUCCGUGCCAGCAGCCGCGGUAAUACGGAGGGUGCGAGCGUUAAUCGGAAUUACUGGGCGUAAAGCGCGCGUAGGUGGCUUGAUAAGCCGGUUGUGAAAGCCCCGGGCUCAGCCUGGGAACGGCAUCCGGAACUGUCAAGCUAGAGUGCAGGAGAGGAAGGUAGAAUUCCCGGUGUAGCGGUGAAAUGCGUAGAGAUCGGGAGGAAUACCAGUGGCGAAGGCGGCCUUCUGGACUGACACUGACACUGAGGUGCGAAAGCGUGGGUAGCAAACAGGAUUAGAUACCCGAGUAGUC